CGCCCUGGCAAUGGGCAAAGAGACACCUUGUUGGUGGUGGUCUUCUAUCAGUCAGGGGCAGAGCGAUGGCAGUCCGUUGUUCAUCCUAGCCUGAUGCCUGGCUUACCGGCCAAAGCUGUUUUAUGCCUAGGACUCACAA